rnacentral:misc_RNA from 1 species
UUUCCGUAGGUGAACCUGCGGAAGGAUCAUUAAAGAGAAUAUGCCCUUCGGGGUAGAUCUCCCACCCUUUGUUUAUAUUACCUUUGUUGCUUUGGCAGGCCCGUCUUCGGACCACCGGCUUCGGCUGGUCAGUGCUUGCCAGAGGACCCAAAACUCUUGUUAUUAAUGUCGUCUGAGUACUAUAUAAUAGUUAAAACUUUCAACAACGGAUCUCUUGGUUCUG